rnacentral:piRNA from 1 species
UGGGAGCCUUCAUAAAGAAAUAAACACUC